rnacentral:rRNA from 1 species
AGUGAACGCUGGCGGUAGGCCUAACACAUGCAAGUCGAACGGCAGCACAGUAAGAGCUUGCUCUUACGGGUGGCGAGUGGCGGACGGGUGAGGAAUACAUCGGAAUCUACUUUUUCGUGGGGGAUAACGUAGGGAAACUUACGCUAAUACCGCAUACGACCUACGGGUGAAAGCAGGGGAUCUUCGGACCUUGCGCGAUUGAAUGAGCCGAUGUCGGAUUAGCUAGUUGGCGGGGUAAAGGCCAACCAAGGCGACGAUCCGUAGCUGGUCUGAGAGGAUGAUCAGCCACACGGGAACUGGGACACGGUCCAGACUCCUACGGGAGGCAGCAGUGGGGAAUAUUGGCCAAUGGGCGCAAGCCUGAUCCAGCCAUACCGCGUGGGUGAAGAAGGCCUUCGGGUUGUAAAGCCCUUUUGUUGGGAAAGAAAAGCAGCAGGUUAAUACCCCGCUGUUCGGACGGUACCCAAAGAAUAAACACCGGCUAACUGCGU